UACACUGUGGGAAACCGCGAUAAGGGGAUACUGAGUGCCAGCAUAUUAUAUNGGCUGUCCAUACGUAUAAAUAGCAUGUGUUAGCAAGGGCCGGGCAAGACCGGUGCUCAGCCGCCGCGGUAACACCGGCGGCCCGAGUGGUGGCCACUAUUAUUGGGUCUAAAGGCUCCGUAGCCGGUUUGAUCAGUCUUCCGGGAAAUCUGACAGCUCAACUGUUAGGCUUGUGGGGGAUACUGUCAGACUUGGGACCGGGAGAGGUAAGAGGUACUACAGGGGUAGGAGUGAAAUCUUGUAAUCCUUGUGGGACCACCAGUGGCGAAGGCGUCUUACCAGAACGCGUCCGACGGUGAGGGACGAAAGCUGGGGGCACGAACCGGAUUAGAUACCCGGGUAGUCCCAGCCGUAAACGAUGCUCGCUAGGUGUCUGGGACGGUGCGACC
rnacentral:rRNA from 1 species